rnacentral:antisense_RNA from 1 species
UUGUUAAUGGGAAAAAGUCAGUAUCUUUUGCUUCUUUUGAAGCUACUGCAGCACUUAAUACGACAGUAUCGCCAUAGCGAACCAAUACAGCACCAUUUGCUUGUUUGGCAAGCUGACCGAUUUCAACUUGCAGAGGACGUCCGCCCCAAGUGGUUUUAAAAACUUGUUUUUCUGACAUAAUUUCUCCUUUUCCCUUUGACCAGUGCGACGCUACUAAACAAAUGGAAAUAGCGGUUGAACAGCUUAACCUCUACUUGCAUUUGGUUAGUAGAGUGACAACACGCUAAUCAAAUGGGCUUUUAUUUUUUCUGAGCAAAACUCAGUUUUUACGAAUUAACUAGCAAAAAAAGUGAGA